UCAAAUCCAAUCUAUAUCGGUGAUGAGCCCUGGAAUCCUUGCCGGUACUAUGCAGGAAUGGCCUUUUCUCUCUGGAGUACCAGAAUCACACUGUUUCAUUCAAAGACAGAAGAAGGAGCCAAGAAGGCUCUCAGUUCAUUCACCUCACAGUUCUGCAUUUGUACCUUUUGGGAAAAUGAACUCACAGUCUGUAGCAAAAAGAACUAGAAAGUAAAAAUUCAUGAAGAAAGAAACUGGACCAGAGUGAUACUAUCAUCAUAGCAGAAUAAGAAUUUUCUUCUGUCUUUCCUUUAAGACCACCAACUUAGACAAUCACCAAAGAACAAGAGAGCCUUGUGGACAUCCAGGAGUGCAGCAGAGAAUUUUCAACACACUAUUGAAGCAAAAACUCAGAUGUUGGAUAGACUGAAGGGUAAUAUUUAGGUGUGCUGUGUGACAGUGGUGGGGAGCAACUCAGAAAGUAUCAGAAAGGACUCUCAGAGGGGACCAGAGGGACAUAAAUGUUACUAACUGCAUCACAGAAUCCAUCAAGAUGUCUGUCCAUGAGCCACAAGGGAUGGCAUUUGUAAGUUCUUACACAUCUGUAAUUAUUUAAAUUUAAAUUCAAUUCUUCAAUCAAGUGGCUGAAUGGAUAAUAAAACAAGGCUUAACUCUAUGCUGCUCA
rnacentral:lncRNA from 1 species